rnacentral:rRNA from 1 species
GCUUGUCUCAAAGAUUAAGCCAUGCAUGUCUCAGCAUAAGCCUUUUCACGGUGAAACUGCAAAUGGCUCAUUAAAGCAGUUACAAUUUAUUUGAUGGUGACUGUUACAUGGAUAACUGUGGUAAUUCUAAAGCUAAUACAUGCGUCAAGUCCCAACUUGAUGGAAGGGCUGUGCUUAUUAGAUACAAAACCAACCCGGGCAACCGGUCCUUUGGUGAUUCAUGAUAACUUUGCGAAUCGCAUAGCUUUAAUGCUGGCGAUGGGUCAUUCAAAUUUCUGCCCUAUCAACUUUCGACGGUAGGAUAGAGGCCUACUGUGGUGAUAACGGGUAACGAAGAAUAAGGGUUCGAUUUCGGAGAGGGAGCCUGAGAAACGGCUACCACAUCCAAGGAAGGCAGCAGG